AGCCUGAGGCUGGAUACCCCCGCUGGGCCCGGAUGACCCCGCUGGGCCCGGAGCAUCCUCCGGCGCUGCCCUCCCAGAGCCACGCAGAGGCUGAGGUGGCGCGGGGGCGGCCCCGGCUCCGCGAGAAGCGGCGGCAGCGAGGGCUGGAGGACCCGGGCUGCGGGGCUCCGGGGCGUCUGGCCUGGGUGGGACUGAGCCCAUCCAGGGACUGGGACUCUGGGAUUCUGGUGUAGGUGGAUCCGGGGCAGGCUCAGGACCAAGUCCCUCUCCUUCCACCAAGGAGCGCCCAGAGGCCGGCGGGAGCUCCAGGUUCACCUCCUCCUCCUCCAGGAAAUCCCACUUCCAGCUAGAUGUCUGCAUGAACUACUGAAAGCUGCUGAGUGUCUUGCAGCAGGUGAGCUGUGGCCAGAGCUCAAGGAUGAAGGGGACUCCCUCACUCUGUGACUGUGAAGAGGAAGCCUGAGGUGUAGCAGGCCCAGGCCCCAGAAGUAUGGAAAAAAUGAGGUUUGACAGAAUUCAUGUUGCUGCCAUAGAGGGGCUCUUUUCAAACUGAUGUCUUAAAUCUUGUUCACGCCAUUUUCAAUCCAGAGGAAGACCUUCUAAAAGAGGUGAUGGAUGGGAGAGUGCUGACAUACUAUGUGAAGCUACUAUUUGGAGUUGGACACGAGUGCAUGUGACCUUGUGCCACAGCGGGAAUCUUGACUACCACACAAAUGAAUCCAUUCAAAUGUUGGCAAGUGGAGCAGAGUCCCAGGACAGGUACAGAAACACCCCCAGUUCAAGAAUCUUCACAUCUGAAUUUAGUCCUACACCUGCAACUACCCCAGGUAAGUUUCCUUGUUCUUCAAUGGCAAAGUUUGGACAAUGCUGUUCAAACUCCAGGCAACAAGCAACAUCUAGGGAAUGUGCUUUUAGGUAGGGUCAGCAUAAUAUCCCACCCUGGAAGACAUUUUUAUUUUAAAGUUGUAGAGGGUGAUGCUGCUGGCGGCUCCCUCCCAAUUAGCACCAUUUGCAGCCUCUUUUGAAGACAGAGAACUGAGGGCUGUCCUUCAAAUGGAGCAGUGUGAUUCCAAAAAAAAGAGAUGCUCCUUGUGGUCCUGGGACCAGGGAUAGGACUCCAGCUGAGCCUGGUGGAAGAGGUCCACGUCCUAGCCCAACGGAGAGCCAUGCAGCUGAGCUUGGGCGAUGUGGUCCACGUGGUUGUUUCUGAGUGUGUCCUGAGGUUGCUGGAUGGCUUGCAGUUCCCUAUGCAGAUCCAAUGCUUCUUUUGCUUUUUUGGUUCUGCAACCUGGAAUUUAUAUGUUCAAGAUGGAGCCAUCUCAGCCAUGACAACAGAGAAUGUACCACUCUCACAUGAGGAAGAGGGGUAGGAAGUGCUCCUGUAUCACCAGCCCUUAAUGAGACCCUGAGGAAACCACAUCAUGGAGAUCAGCCCUUCUCUCCUGUAAGGAACUCAUCCUAUGAAAGAGCAAUUAGUGCCUGCAAGAGCUGUCUCUGGGACAGCUGUUCAUGUCUAUAUCUGCAGGGUAACCCUCAUAGUCAUAUGCAGUCAUAUCCAUAGUCAUAUCGGGAGUCAGACUCCAGUUUGACUGAGUGAAUGGAGAAACUAAACAUUUAUUACUGAAUAAUAACAUUAAUAAACCAUCUUAAUGAUAGUAAUAAUAAACAUAUUGAUGAGUAU
rnacentral:lncRNA from 1 species